rnacentral:lncRNA from 1 species
CGACCCAGGGAGAGUGCCGGAGCCCGUCUGGGAUUCGCUGGAGCAGUGCGAAGAGGGUUAUAGAAGAAUGGAGUCGAAGAGACAAGCACGGCGGCGCAGAAGGAAGCCCGAGAGUCAGCCCCAAAAAUCUCUUGGGGGGGGGCUCAGGGAGAGUGUGGCAGAGUCAGGGUUCAGACCUGAGCCAACUCCUCCUGUUUAUCGUGAGGAGCAGCGAUCACAGGACUUCUGGACGUGGGAGGAGAUAUUGGACGGAAAAGGACCCUGGACACAGCCUGGAGAAUAUCGACGCCCCAAAGAAGAACUGGAGGCGGCGAAAGCGGAGAGGCGCUGGUAUGAAGAGGCAGCACGGCGACACGGAUGGAAGCCCGAGAGUCAGCCCCAAAAAUGUAUUGGGGGGCUCAGGGAGAGUGUGGCAGAGUCAGGGUUCAGACCUGAGCCAACUCCCCCUGUUUAUCGUGAGGAGCCAAGGAGGAGACCAGAACCAGAACCGGUGUUGGAGGUGAGUGAAGCAGAGACUGUGAAGGAGUUAAUGGGGAAAGUGGAGGAGAGGGUUAUGAGGGAGUUGCUAGGUUGGUACUUUAGGUACGAUAUUCGCCCGACGGAGCGUGUCGGGGAUUUGAUGGCACCUGGGUCAGCGCUCCAUACUCGUCCUGAGGUGCGUGUUAGUCGGCUGGUGAAGARUGUGCCAGCCUCARGCACUAGGCCUCCUGUGUACCUACCUAGCCUUGCACGUCCUGUGCCAGCCCUGCUCUCAGGCUCUCCAGUACACCUUCACGGUCCAGUCCAUCCUGUGCCACCUUCACACACCAGUCCUCCGGUGGCAGCUCCCCGCACCAGGCUUCUUGUGCGUGUCCUCGGCCCAGUACCACCAGUGCCAGCACCACGCACCAGGCCUUCAGUGCGCCUCGCCUGUUCAGCGCUGCCAGAGCCUUUCUCCUCUCCAGCGCUGUCGGAGUCUCCCGCCUGUUUAGCGCUGUCAAAGCCUUCCUCCUCUCCAGCGCUGCCGG